CCCUUAGACGUUCUGGGCCGCACGCGCGCUACACUGACCAGUGCAACAAGCAUCCGUCCUUGGCCGACAGGCCCGGGCAAUCUUUGAACGCUGGUCGUGAUGGGGAUAGACCUUUGCAAUUAUGGGUCUUCAACGAGGAAUUCCUAGUAAACGCAAGUCAUCAGCUUGCAUUGAUUACGUCCCUGCCCUUUGUACACACCGCCCGUCGCACCUACCGAUUGAAUGGUCCGGUGAAAUCUCGGGACGGCGGCUUGGUCGCUUGCGUCCGACUGCUGAAACUUGAUUAAACCAUAUCAUUUAGAGGAAGGUGAANUCGUAACA
rnacentral:rRNA from 1 species